rnacentral:lncRNA from 1 species
CGGCAUUUGUUAUUAUCUAAAUAAAUGAAAAAAUCUUGAUCCUCAUAUGAAAAAGUUUUUCUCACAUUUUACUCGUGGCAUUUGAAUCUGGCAUGCCAAUUUAAAAAUAAUGAUUGACAUUGUAAUUUACAGAUGAUUUGGAGAAUAAAUAAUUAAUGGUUUUAAGAGUGUGUCUAACCAGUUGUGUGACAUCUCUGUGAACAUGUGGAGGGACCAAAGCAAGCAUGGGAGGUGGAGCGAAGCUAAUGCUCAUAUGGAAAUGGCCUUUGAUCCUGCUUUUGCCUCCUUUUCUUCUAUCUGGGUAAAGUACACCUUCCAUGCUAAGACGGAAUUCUGAUGGCUUGUUUUUCCCCUCUGUUACUCCUUCUAGAUCCCAUUUUGUCUGCAUCAUAUAUAUAUAUAUGCUUCAACUUAAUCAAUACUAUAUAUAUAUAUAUAUAUAUCCUUAAUUAAUUUUUUAAGUAUGUGCACAUCAUACAAUUUUGAACUCAAGAACCAUAGAGGUAUGGGUAGGAACGCCAGAAGGGUAUUCUUUCCCAUUAGUUUUGCAUCUAAGUCUCAUGUUAACAACUGGGCAUGCUGUGAGGAACAAGAAGCCAAUCGGUUCCAUUCGGAUUCUCCAUUCUUCCUGCACCAACAUACAUAUAAUUAAUUAUUCAAUUACACAUUAUUAUACUAAAAUAGUAGUAGUUAAUUAAUUACCUCGUUAAGACGUUGGGUUCCUCUGUUAUCUGGGGAAAUAGCUUUGAAGACUCUUGGUUUGUCCUCCAAGUACCUAUCGAAAGAUGCCUGUGUACAUAAAAGCGUAAUUAAUUAACAACAUAUAUUAUAAAAACAGAGAGUGUAGUGUAUGUGAAUUGUGAACGUACAUGAGGGGAUUCAAAGAGGGGCAUGUCAGAUACAAUGGUGAUUUGUGAAUCAUAACUCUGUUGAUGAGCCUUAAUGGGAUGGUAUUUUGUACGGAAUUUCUGCUUUGAUGGACUCAACACUAGUACUAUAUUUCUCUCGAAGAAUUGAAAGCCUCUGCUUCUUAUUCUGCCAGGCUGCAACGUCGCACAAAUUAAGGGAACUGUCACUGCCACAACACUUGGGUUCAUGAUUGACUAGCUGAUAAUUCGAUCUAUUUCUUUACCUCUUUCAAGUUUUUGGAGCUAAAUCACUACUCUUUUUUCUUUUUUUUUGCAAUGGAAUUAAUUCUCUGCCUGAAAGUUGGGACAUUACACCUUAUAUUCUUACUCUGUCCCAUUUUAUAUUAGAUAGUUUGAUUCCCGAGUUUAAAAAGAAGAAAAAACUUUAAAAACUUGUGAUCCAAAAUGAAUGAUAGAAAUUUGUGUAAUUAUAAAUCAUUUAAUUAAGUAUAAAAUGUACAUUUUAAAAUUAAAUUAUCACUUAAUAUAAAAAUAUAUCAUUUUUUUUUAAUUGACUAAAAAUGAAAGUAAGUCAUAAAUUUUAAUAUAUCAUAUUCAAAACCCAAAUCAUUUUCAUUUCAUUACUGACUUCAGUACUUGGAGUAACUGGACCUACCAUGUUUCUUUUGGAGUACACAUUUCCAACGUUAUUCCAUCAAUAAUUGUUAGAUAUUUUAUUCUUUAUAUAUAUAUUUUUUUCCGGAUAAAUAUAAAAUGGUAAUUUAUGUAUUUUUCUUUAAAAAUAUCUUUGAAAACUGUCUUCAUCGUGUAUCAUCAUCCGCAGUGUAAUUUGUACGGCACGUGUUUGGUGUUAAUCAAUAAGACUAUAUAAAAAUAAAAUUAUUAAAAAAUAGUAAUUGACUUUAAAAUAAAUGUUAUAUUUAUUUAAAUAAAUAUUAUAUCUCAAAUAUGUUAUUGUGUGUCGUAUCUCGCCUCAUAUUUCUUUACAAAUAAUUUGUUAUAUUUUUCUGGUCACUUUAGCUAUUUUAUCAUAAAAAAUAAUAAUUGUUGUAGACAUUUAUAAUUUUCAUUAAAAAGAAACAAAAAUAUUUUAAACCUUCUUGCUGAAAUUCGAAACAAAAAAAUAAUAAUCUCAAACAAAAUAGAAUACUAUGAAAUGAAAAGAAAUAAAACACAAAAAUAUUAAAGAAGGGUUCAAUGGAGCAUGACUAAAGUAGAAAGAAAUCUAUAUCUAUAUCUAUAUAUAAUAUAAAGCUAGAUAAAAGAUCUCUUUGGCCAAGAAUCCUAUUUAUCUUUUUUUUUCUCAUUUUUUUGACAUUUUAUUUAUUUAUUUAUUGUUUAUUAUUAUUUUACAAAUAUGAAUGUGGCAAUUACUAUUCCUUUCAUUUAUUCAUAUUCUUUAAUAUAAACUUUAAUUGUCUUUAUUUUCAUUACUCUCAUGACUUUUCAUGAUCAUAACUCCUAAAUUUUAUUACUAAUAGUCAUGUUCAUGAUUUCAUUUGGUAUUCCCUAUUGUUAUCCUAUAAAUAGAGGCAUUAUAAAUUUUUCUUACAAAAUAAACGAUCAAAUCUAUAUAGUAUAUAGAUGUGUGUAAAGCUCUCAAAUUUGUGGUAAAGGUGCUUUAAGAUGAUCAAGCUAAAAGAAAGGCACAUAUAUUCUAUACUUUUUUCUUCUUCUUUUCGAUCAUCAUAAUACUAUUUUGAGUUUGAUAUUUAUUUGAUUUGAUUUGAUUAUAGGUAGACAUCUACAGAAAAUACAAAGAAAACAGAUGGGUUGAUGAUAAGAAAUUGUAAACAAUUCUUCUCAAACUCUCUUUUAUAUUUAUUUUUAUUUUUCUUUUUCUUUGUGUGUUUGACUAAAGAAGUUAUACUCAUUGAUCAUAAAUUUUGCUAAGUAACAAAUAUAUGAGGUAUUCAAUUAUACUCUUACUUUAAUGUUAAUUAUUUUUAAAGAAUUUCUUUAUUUUGCAGCAUUUGGAGAAUGGAGGGGGAGGGGAGAUAGAAAAGUGAAAUUUUAUCAGAUGGGUCAAAGAUAAAAAUUGUAAGCAAUUCUUCUCAAAUUUUCGUUUAUAUUUAUAUCCCCUUUUCUUAAUAUGUUUGAGUAUAGAAGUUAUACUCAAUUGAUCAUAAAUUUUGCUAAGUGAUAAACAUAAUUAUUCUCUUACUUUAUUGUUCUAAGUUUCUUUUUUUUUAUAAAGAAUAUAUGUAUUUUGCAGUAUUUGGAAAAGUGAAGGAGCGGGGGGCGGGGGCAGGGGGGAGUGAAAUUUUAUGAUAAAAUUAAAUUCUGAACUUAAAUAAAUUCAAUUGAAAUUACAAUUCAUAACUGUAAAAAUAAUAUUGUUUCAUCAUUUUAUAGGUAUAGAUACCCUGAUAUACGAGGUGAAGAAAAUGGAAAGGUGAAACAACUGAUUUAAGAUUAAGAGCAAGGAAAUGAAAAAUAUAUUAAUUCAAAACUUUCGGUAAAAUUGAAUGCUUAACUAUAAGAAUAAUAUUUUUAUUUCUAAAUAGUCAUUUUGUGAUAAUAAUUUUAUUGCCUCGAUGUUACUCUAAAUCUCGAUAAUUUUGUAUUUUUUCUUUUAAUUUUGUUAAUUGAGAGGUAAAUAUCGCUCCCAUGAGUUGUAGUACUUUAGAUUUUGAUAUAUUUGGAUUGUAAAUUUAUAAAAAAUGAUUGUUAAUUUUAUGUGUGAUAAUUAUUUGAAUUUUAUCUUCUUUAUUUUUGUUCCACAUAAAUACACUGGAUAUGAAUCUAACAAACAAGUGAUAUGCUUUUUUUUCCUAUUAUUAUUUUUCAAUUAAAUACAUGAAAUUUAUAAAUAUUAUAAAGCUAAAUAUAGAGAAGUAAUGUGCCAACUCUUUAUAACUUCCAAUUGCAUUAUUUGUUUUCUCUUCUUCUUAGCAUUUUAUUCUCCUAUUUCAUUAUAUAAUAAUACAAUAAUCUCUACUUAAUAUUAUUUUUCUUAAUUAUUUUAAUUAAAAAAUCAUCUUCAUAACUCAUGUCAUUUUUUUUAAAAAUAUUUUAUUAUAAUAAUAUUUAUUAAUUUUUUGACUUUAACUCACAUUAACCUCCAAUUGCAUUAUUUGUUUUCUCUUCUUCUUGGCGUUUUCUUCUCCCAUUUCAUUAUGUAAUAAUAAUAAUAAUAAUAAUAAUAAUAAUAAUAAUAAUAAUAAUAAUAAUAAUAAUAAUAAUAAUAAUAAUAAUAAUAAUAAUAAUAAUAAUAAUAAUAAUAAUAAUAAUAAUAAUAAUAAUAAUAAUAAUAAUAAUAAUAAUAAUAAUAAUAAUAAUAAUAAUAAUAAUAAUAAUAAUAAUAAUAAUAAUAAUAAUAAUAAUAAUAAUAAUAAUAAUAAUAAUAAUAAUAAUAAUAAUAAUAAUAAUAAUAAUAAUAAUAAUAAUAAUAAUAAUAAUAAUAAUAAUAAUAAUAAUAAUAAUAAUAAUCUCUAUUUAGUAUUAUUUUAAUUAAAAAAUCAUCUUCAUAACUCAUAUCACCUUUUAAAAACAACUUCUAUUAUAAUAUCAUUAAUUUUGUGGCAUUAACUCACGGUUUCAUCACUCAUGCUCUUAAUAUUCUCCAUUACUCAUAUGUUUUUUCAAGUUUAUAACCCUCAAUAAUAUUUUACUUAUAAAUUUUGACACUUAUCAUAAUUUUCUCAUUAUGAAUUCUUAUAUGAUCUCAAAUAAAAAUGAUAUGACACAUCUUAUAAUUCAAGAAGUUUAUUUAUAAUUUUUCUCAUUUUUUGUGAUAUUUUUCUUAAUUUUUUCAUGUAUAUGCUAUAAUAUUAUAAAAACUCAAAACUCACUUCCUUAACUCUCUUAAGUAUAUAAUAAAUGUGCCUAUGUUAAAGUUGUGGAAACAUAAAGAGGUGUUACAUUGAUUUUUCCCCCCAGUUUUUUAGAAGUAAUAUUUAAUUAUUUAUUGCUUUAAUAAAAGAAGAAAAUUAAAGAUUAUAAUAGACCAUAAAGGGUCAUCAUAUACAAUAUUUCAAUUUUUCUAUAAAAGAAAAGACAUUCUAUAAUCUGAAAUAGUUGUAUAAGUAGUUUAUUUAAUUUACAAAAUUAAAAUUUAUAUGUGUACAUAUGAAAAUUUUAUAUACUUGAUUAUCUAAAUUUAUAAAAUAUUCUUUAAAAAAUUUACUAAUAACUUUCAUAAUCGCGCGAAGUGUGAACAAAUUUACUAGUUUUUAAAUAAGAGAGAAGGCGAGCUAAAUUGUACUAGUUGGUUAAGAUUAAUCGUUUCCGUUACACUCUGUUCCGCCUCGUUAUCUUUGCAAUUUUCACGAUUUCUUAUUUUUUUAUAUUUUGAAUUUUUUUACUAAAAUUCUUAUCUCCGCCGCUGAAUAAACGUAUGAAUAUUUUGGUACAAUGAUUGCCAUGGGAUAAGAUAACCAAUGUGAUUUAGCUAUCCCACUCUUUAAAUGAGAUAGUUAGAGCAUGUUUGACAUUGCUGCUAAAAAUUGCUUAUUUUUUGAAGCACUUUUUUAAAAAUGACUUUUUAAAAAAGUGUUUUUGAAAAAAAGUAAUUUGUGUUUGGCUAAUUCAUUUGAAAAGUGCUUUGAUAAGCAAAUCGUGUUUGACUAAAUCUUUUUUAAGAAAAUAAUUUGAGAGUCAAAUUACGAAAAAUGGUAAGUAUCAAUGUACUUUUAAUACUACGAUUAUUUUAUAGAGAGAAACUAUUUUAAAUAUCUAUUAGAAUUUUUUAAUGAAAAUAUGCAUAUUCAAAUUUUCAAUCAAUAUUAUACAUAAAUAAAUAAAUUAAAUAUUAAUAUAAUAUUAACAUGAUGAAUUAAAUAUAAUUCAAAAUAUCAAGAAAAAUAAAUUUAAAAACUAUUCCACAAAUUAAACCGCUAUAUACAAAAAAUUCACCACAAAAAUAAAUAAAAUUCUUCAUAUUUUUAACCCUACAAAAAUGUUGUUUAUUUUUUAUUCUAUAAAAUAAGACGUAAAAUAAUAUAUAAAAUAUAAAAUAAUAAUAGUAUAUAAACAUAAAAUAAAAAAAUAUUAUAUAAAAAUAAAAAAUAAAAAAUAAAAUUUUUGUAUGAAACUAACCAAAUUUAUGAUAUAUGUUAAUUAAUUAAUAAGGGAUAUAUUGUUAAAUAUAUAUAGGAGAGAUAUUUAGUCUUCAAGAAAAUAAUUUUCUGGUUUCGCUUCUACUUUUUUUAAGAAGCAGAAAUUUUUAACUUCUUCCCAACCGCAGAAAAACUGCUUUUGCUUCCAUUUAAAAGCAGUUUUGAGAAUUUGCCAAACACUAUUUUUUCAAAAAAAGUACUUUUAUCGGAAAAAAGAAGAAGCACUUUUGACCUCCCAACAACAAUGCCAAAUAGGCUCUUAAUCUCACCAUUUAAUGUAAAAAUAAUUCUAAAAAUAAGUAAUAUCUCAAAUCCAACAUAAAAUAAAAUUAAUCUCAAAUAACAUUUCAAAAUUAUUAUUAACCUUAUCAAAUGUAUCAAACAAAUCAAGAAAUAUGAAGUACUCUAUGUGUACGAAAUUUGAUCAUUUUGGGCCUAAUUUUCAAAAUAGUUGAAUAGUUUGGAUUUUUUUGUCUAAAUAUUUGAACUAGAGAGGAAGUUGUGUAUUAAAUUCAAAGGCGGACCCACGUGUGAUGUUGAGGGUGCACAUGUACCUAUUAACUUUGAAAAAUUACGUAUAUAUAUACCUUGAGAUAGACAUAUAUUUUAUUAAGUACCCAAAGAUUACUAAAGUCAAUUUGGCUUGCGUGAAGCUUAAAAAUAAGAAAAUACAUAAUUACCCCAUCAAACUUAUACCCUUUUUUGAAAUAGACACCUUAAAUUUGUGGGGGUCCUAUUACCCCUCAAAACUAUUUUUAACCAUCAAACUAUGUUUUAAAACUAGCAAACUUAUGCGUUUUCUAGAAAAUGACUUUUGAUUUAUUUUAAUUUUAAAAUAUUUAACUUGCAAACAUUUUUAUAUUUGCUUAACACCAAAAUAAGUUUUAAGCUUAUUUUAUUGUAUUUUUUAAGUCAAUCCAAAAAUCCUCACAAUUCGAUAAAGACAUUUAAUUAGUACUUUAGUAGUAGGGCUUUCCCUUUGUUUUUUCUUUGUUUGUUUUGUAUAUCCCCUUCCCCUUGAAAAUUAAUUCAGCAAAGAGAUUCCCGAAAAAGAAACAUAAAAAUAAAAAAAGGGGGAGAAUUAUAAGUAGUAAUCUUAUUUGGCUGUUGCGUACACGAGAUCACUAUUAUUAACAGAGGAGUAUUUGUCCUGAUUUUGAUUAGUUGAACAAAUACAAAAGGCCACGCAAUUAACUACACACAAAGAAAAUUCACACUAGUGAACCAUAGUUUUCCAGUAUGGAAAAAGAAAAAUGAAGAGUUCUUCUGGUUUUUGAUUAAAUGAUAAGUCAGUCUUACAGUUAUGGAUUUUUGGGGGUUUCCUUCUUGAAUUUAGCAUAAUCAGCGAGCAAAUUGUUUCUUACUUUAUGCUGCAUACUCUCCGCCAUAUUCUUCAUAACCUGUUAAUUACCCCACAUAAAUAAAAAGUUUUUUUUAAUAAGAAAAUGUGUCAUAUAAAUUGAGAAACUAACUAACCGCUUGUGUGACAUCUCUGUGAACAUGUGGAGGGACCAAAGCAAGCAUGGGAGGUGGAGCGAAGCUAAUGCUCAUAUGGAAAUGACCUUUGAUCCUGCUUCUUCCUCCUUUUCUUCUAUCUGGGUAAAGUACACCUUCCAUGCUAAGACGGAAUUCUGAUGGCUUGUUUUUCCCCUCUGUUACUCCUUCUAGAUCCCAU